rnacentral:rRNA from 1 species
GACGAACGCUGGCGGCGUGCUUAACACAUGCAAGUCGAACGGAAAGGCCCUGCUUUUGUGGGGUGCUCGAGUGGCGAACGGGUGAGUAACACGUGAGUAACCUGCCCUUGACUUUGGGAUAACUUCAGGAAACUGGGGCUAAUACCGGAUAGGAGCUCCUGCUGCAUGGUGGGGGUUGGAAAGUUUCGGCGGUUGGGGAUGGACUCGCGGCUUAUCAGCUUGUUGGUGGGGUAGUGGCUUACCAAGGCUUUGACGGGUAGCCGGCCUGAGAGGGUGACCGGCCACAUUGGGACUGAGAUGCGGCCCAGACUCCUACGGGAGGCAGAGGUGGGGAAUAUUGCACAAUGGGCGGAAGCCUGAUGCAGCAACGCCGCGUGCGGGAUGACGGCCUUCGGGUUGUAAACCGCUUUCGCCUGUGACGAAGCGUGAGUGACGGUAAUGGGUAAAGAAGCACCGGCUAACUACGUG